CAAUCGCACUUGCAGUUUCAUCCCACCGUAACUAGUCAGCCCGUGGGCUGACUAAUAAACGAAUCCAGUGACACAGAUAUCGCAAGAUCACUUACAGAGGCAUGUCCAGAACAGAAACCCUGUCCUAGAAGGUGUUCAUUCGGAUACGUCAAGAACGCAAAUGGAUGCAAAACAUGCCAAUGCUGUCCUGUUUUACGAUGUCCAUUUUGCUGGCGAGGGUAUAUCUUGGGCAAAGAAGACAACCAGUGUUGGGUCUGCCAUUGUAAAUGGGGUCUCUGAAGAUUUUUAUAUAAGCUCAUGCAAUGGAUUACCAACGUUAACGUCGUCUGAAAAUUUUGGCUCAUAAACUUGACAAAUUAUAUUUCUCGUGAAUGUUGUUCAUUUAAAUUUUUAACAUCAUUUAGACAGUGUAUGUUUGAUUUAUGUUUAUUUGAAGCAAGCAUGAACAUAUCCAC